AAACACCUUCAGUGGUACAAACCUUUUAAACAUUAGCUCAAAAUGUAUUACCGGUAGCACGCCGCCACCAGUUUGGCAAUGAAGAGGUUGCUGAUAUGGUCCACAGAGUACUGUUGAAAUGGUCAGUUACAAAGUUUAAAAAUUUGUUUUGGCUUCUGUAGGUAGUCAGUUUGCCUGUUACAAGUAUUGAAGACAGUAGUUCCUGUAGCUGCUCCUUUAAAAGAGAUAGGAGUAAAUAGGUGUUUUGGUUAAGGCCAUGUUUCACAUUCUUCUGCUUUUCUGUUAGUUGGAAGACAAAUUUUAUACAUCACAUUGAUAGGACAGCUUCUUGGCCCUCAGCAACUGGUAACUUAAAACUGCUCUGUGCAACGCACUUUUCUUGACCAAUACUGCAUAUAUUCUGUCAUCCUGCUUAAGGAUAUUUUAGCGACUAUUCACUAAACUUUUGAAAGUUGAAGCUAACUUAGUUUUCAUUAAAGAGGGUCCACUCCAAAUUAAAUAUAAGUGCUUUAGUUCUUGAUCUCAUUUAGUAAUAUCUCAGGGACCAAAAUCUCCCUUUCAGUUUCCACAUCCAUAGUUUUAACAGCAAGUUGUUGCAAAAUUUGCUGGGACAACCCAAAGUGCACUUGACACCUGAAUGGGCCACUGGAAUUCACAGGCAACAUGCAUGACAACUGAGCUGCAUCCCCUUUGAAACUUUUUGUCCUCCCCAGGUAAAGAAGUGAGGCAAUAAAUCAUUUUAUCUUCAGCUUUUCUGUUUGUACCAACAGCAUGACAAAUGCCAGCCUUACUGGUUAGGUUGGAGAAAAUGUGUUCUUGUAUAGAGUCAUCAGAUCAGUAUAGAAUGAUUAGCAAGGUUAAAUGUGGGAACAACACAGAGAAUUUCAAAGAUGUAUUUAAAUGCACUAGGAGUUAAAGGGAGCGUUUCUGUGUGUGCAUUUGUUCUUAAAGAGUUUUGUCUUUAAAAAAAUAGUCUUUAGGAAAGUUCAUUUUUCUUUGUUAAACUAUGAUUAGAGGCUUACUUUUUAAAAAGAUGUUAAACAUACAUGUGUCUGAAGCAAUGGAUUGCACAGAAGUUCUGGUCUGUAUAAUAUCUUUAAUGUCAAUGCAUAAUUGCCUUUUUAUUACCAAGUGCAAUGACCUUUGAAAAUGUGACUUUUAAUUCAAAAGUAGAGAAGGAACAUUUUUCGUCCUGUGGUUGCAUGUAUAAAUUCAACAGAAGGAAUUUUCGUGCACAGGUGAAAAUGUAACAACUUCCUUGAAAGCCUGUGUCUCCUGUAAAUACUCAAAUGUGAGGUGUGACAACUAAAAUUUCUGGGUUUCCCAGUUUUUACUGGAAGGAAAGAACGAGUGAAAAAUGAACAUGAAAAUCUUUAUACUCCUUACCUUUACUCUGAGCUGUUGCUGGUCCCACCUCACCCUAAGGGACAGGAGUAACAGCAGCUUUUGGAACACACAGGGCAAGAGCAGCACACACCUCAAGCAGUGGACUUCUGAGUAUGACCUCUUGCCAAAAACACCGAAGUAUUGAACCUGGGAACGACUGAUGUUGAAGUGCUGCCUUUGCCAACAGUGGAUGUGGCAGGGGAAAAGGUAGCACAUAGUAAGUAGGAGAGGGGUUUUUUGCUGCUUUUCUGACUUAUCUUUUACUGGGAAACACAAUUCCUGUUAGUUUUUCACUGAGUAAAAAUCAUAAUUUUAUUUUCAAUUGCUGUUGCAAGUAUUAAGAAUUUCACACCACUGUUAACUUUCUACCAACAUAGUUGAAAUAUAUUGUAAACUGCAUGUUGGCAGGGAGGGGACAAACUGUUGAAAGUUAGCUUUUUGUGAAGCUGUGAUUUAUUUUUUUUCUAUAAAUUACAAAUUUAUAAAUUUUUACUUGAGAAAUGCAUUAACUUGGUAUUAAAAUACCAUAAAUAAAUUGAUGUAAGAUGUUGUUUUAUUCUUG
ensembl:lncRNA